rnacentral:rRNA from 1 species
CGGGUGAGUAACACGUGGGGUAACCUGCCCAUAAGACUGGGAUAACUCCGGGAAACCGGGGCUAAUACCGGAUAACAUUUUGAACUGCAUGGUUCGAAAUUGAAAGGCGGCUUCGGCUGUCACUUAUGGAUGGACCCGCGUCGCACUAGCUAGUUGGUGAGGUAACGGCUCACCAAGGCAACGAUGCGUAGCCGACCUGAGAGGGUGAUCGGCCAAACUGGGACUGAGACACGGCCCAGACUAAUACGGGAGGCAGCAGUAGGGAAUCUUCCGCAAUGGACGAAAGUCUGACGGAGCAACGCCGCGUGAGUGAUGAAGGCUUUCGGGUCGUAAAACUCUGUUGUUAGGGAAGAACAAGUGCUAGUUGAAUAAGCUGGCACCUUGACGGUACCUAACCAGAAAGCCACGGCUAACUACGUGCCAGCAGCCGCGGUAAUACGUAGGUGGCAAGCGUUAUCCGGAAUUAUUGGGCGUAAAGCGCGCGCAGGUGGUUUCUUAAGUCUGAUGUGAAAGCCCACGGCUCAACCGUGGAGGGUCAUUGGAAACUGGGAGACUUGAGUGCAGAAGAGGAAAGUGGAAUUCCAUGUGUAGCGGUGAAAUGCGUAGAGAUAUGNAGGAACACCAGUGGCGAAGGCGACUUUCUGGUCUGUAACUGACACUGAGGCGCGAAAGCGUGGGGAGCAAACAGGAUUAGAUACCCUGGUAGUCCACGCCGUAAACGAUGA